GUGACAACAAGCAGCAACAGUUAGUAGCGAUCGUUUAUUUUUUCCUCUCGUCUGGCCUUUCAACAUGGAGGAUUACAUAUAUAAAAUAAAACUGUUUUCUAAACUGGACUUUCAAUUGAAGCAGGAGGUAAUAAUUAAAGGAAGACCAACGCCGGAGCUAAAAGGUUUGCUUCAGACUUCGGGACAGAAGACCCGUUCUUUUCAAACGGCGUGCUACACACGAAAAGUCUGGCUGUGUGGAUGUCCAGCAAGAAACCGCCUUUUCUGCUUUUCCUGUCUUCUUUUCUCUUCUUGUGACUAUGUCUAGACUCAGAUGGGAUAUUGUGACCUGAAGAAUUUGCAGAGAAGCCUCAUCAAACAUGAACGGUUGACCACUCACAUUCAAAACCUGAUUGCGCUCAAAACGUUCAGGAUGUCCAGGAUAGACUUGGCUUUGGAUGAACAGCGAACACUCAACGUCAGCACCAACAAUGCAAAGUGUUUUUGCCCGACACAUCCACGGAGGAACAAAUCCGGCAUCGCUAUGCCACACAAGCCUCACAUUAUCGAUGCUUUUGUUCAGAAGGAGCGGAGCAUCGACUUCAUUUAUAAGUAAAGUGCCUUUCCUGUUCCCCAUGAUCGAGCUGUGUGCCUCGACUCCUCUCUGGAUUUUGGACUGCCUCCCUCGAUCCUAGACCACUGCUCGGACACAGACCUAGUUGCUUCCUCCAACCCCCGACCGCUUGCUUGGACAGCCUUCUUGCCUUGCUCCUCUGGUCUGACGAAGGAUUUAUCCAACACACACAUACAACAAACUCUGGUAACAUGUACAUUGUUAAUUCUACACAUCAUUUUGCACCAAACACAUAGAGUAGCACACACCUCCCACACA